UUCACCAGAUGCUGUUUAGCAUUUGUUUCCACAUUCUGGGAAGUAAUCUCUAUAUUCUGUACAUAACCCUUAUGUACAGAAUAUGUGUCACAUAUCACCAUUGUCCUGGUGUUAAUAAAUGCUGGUAGUAGCUGUACUGGUGGUCACUGCGGCGCUGAGGAUCACUAAUGGACUCUUAGUCUAAAAUUUUAGGAAGUUCAUGAAAACUUUUCUUGAUAAUCCUGUUUUUUUUUUUUUCCCAUAUUGUUUUUUUUUUUCUUACUCCUUUCAUUUCACUUUUGCCAUCAGCUUAAUCAAUUAUGUUGGCUCUGACUAUAUUAUAUUGCCAAAUCUUCUCUUUUCUACCCCUGAAGUAGUUCAUCUGAUGUUAAAGAACAUUACAGUAGACAAGGUAGCAGUACUUAAACCACAGUGCUCUGUUUGGAAAGCCAGUGCUGAAGUGAGAGGCAUAGUGGUAGCUGCACCAACUGCCUUCACCAAUGAAGCUGCUAAGAUUCGUGUGUUGCCAGAGUAUGAAGCAGUACAAAUUCAGCGCAGAACAGUGCAUGGACUUCAAAAGCCCGGAAGGAUGAUCUGCUCACCCCCAAAUUGCUCUUGCUAAGGGACCUCUGCCCCACUGCAGCGCGGCACAGGGAUGCGCAGGGCUAGGAGAGUGCGCGCGGACGUGACAGAGGCAGGAAACGGGCUACAGCGCCUGGCUUCGGGUCGUGUUAUUCAUCCGAGAUCCUUCCCCGGCGUGAAACCUGCCAGACUCUGCUCAUGUUAUUUGCCGAUGUAUCGUCUUAUAUACAUUGAAUACACUUAGUUUAUUUCAUGUGUAUAUUUCAAAUGUAUUUCAUAUAUUUUGUGCAAUUGUUGUUCAAAAACCAUGGAUUGUGGUUGGUAUUCGCUUUCAAAAUAUUUUAAUAAUUUGAGUUUCAGUAACGAUUGAUAGCAUUCCUUAUAACCAAUUUAAAGUUAUUGUGAAUUUACCUCAGCACAAAAUAAAUACCUAAACUAGACGAUUGGAACA
rnacentral:lncRNA from 1 species